GUCUUCUCUCUUGGCUUUGGAGCUCCCCAUUCCUCUGUGUCUGUAACAGGGGAGCUUCUUCCUUCUUUCUUCUCCCUUCUUUCUUGCCUGUUAAACUCUCUGCUUCUUAAAACCACUCCAUGUAUGUCCAGGUCAUUUUAUCUAAUUUGGAGACGGAGAACCCUGGUGUUCCUCUGCUCAUCAGAGCCGUCUCACCUGCAAGGGCCAGGAUCCAGCACUAGGGCUGCCCUUUAUGUUCAUGCAGCCUCCACUAGGAAGAUCCUCCUUAGCUGCCACCUGCUGUAAAGGGAUCUAUCUAUCUAUCUGUCUAUCUAUCUAUCUAUCUAUCUUUCUAUCUACCUGUCGAGAGAGAGAGAGGUUUAUUAUAAGGAAUUGACUCAUGUGAUUAUGGAGGCUGAGAAGUUCCACAGUCUGCUGUCUGCAAGCUGGAGACCCAGGAAGGCUGCUGGUGCCGUUCCAGUUUGAUUCUGAAGGCCUGAGAACCAGAACUGAUGCCCACUCAACAUGAAGAUGACAAGGAUGAAGACCUUUAUGAUGAUCCAUUCCCACUUACUGAAUAACAGGGUCUCACUCUGUCACCCAGACGGGUGUGCAGUGGCAUGAUCAUGGCUCACUGCAGCCUUGAUUCCAAGGGUGAAGUGAUCUUUCCACCUCAGCAUCCCAAGUAGCUGGGACUACAGGAUGAAGCUUCUUGGUGAUGUAACAGUCUGUGGAAACUCCCACAGGACAAAUGCAGAAAGGAAGGACCUAGAUCACUGGAUGGUCAACGUUGCCCCUUGCACAGCAGCAAAGGCCUAUACAAAUUUUUUGAGUAGCUUUAUCUAGUGGUUCAGCUACUGGGAAUAACUUGUAAAAUCCCCUGGAUAGUCAACAGCAUUGGGGCUUGCUUUGUAAACAGAGACCUGACCUACUUAAUUCUUCCCAGAGGUUGGAAAAAGAGGCUGGACUCACACAGACAUGAAACCUUGGCUUAAUUGGACACUAAUUACUCAUAAGAGAUCUGUUUACCCGAACUUCCCCUAGACCAAGCUCAGUAUAAAAUGAGAGGAUGCAUAAAGAAGCAAGAUAUUUAGAGGAAAAUGUCACAAAUACAUUUAUCAGUCCCAAAAGUCCUUUUUUUUCCCCAGAAGUGAUGUUGCUAAUUGCACAAAAAUAAACAAUACAGGGGUUGAUAAAUUCCACAUUUAAGGGCUGAGGAUAGUGUCCCUACAUUUCUAAGAAGCUGUAUAUUUGGAAAUGAAUACAAUUGAAAGUAAGGAUAAGUGGCAUUCUAAAGCCAAUUGGAUAACUUGAAUGAACAAGCAGAAUUUACCAUAUUUUGAUAUGUUUCUUUUUGAUUAAAGUAUCUGUAAAGGAAACAAAUUAUAGUAUUGCUAUAGAUUUUAUUACUGAACAAGAAAAAAAGGCUUGAUGUUGUGCAUUUCCUUUUGGCCUUUGGUCUUGGCUGAUAUUGGGCAUCCAAUGAGCUUCUUUGUCUUGAAUGAAGACUUAAGAGGGAGUGAAAAGUAGGAAGAGCAUCAAAACUUCUUUGCAGGAUGUAAUCAAACCACCUACUACUUAUUGUCUUACGAUCCAUUUAUUCAACAAAUGGAACAUCUCAAUUGCUUGAUGCUAUUACAGACACUAGGUAUAGUCUUAGAAAAACAAAUUGCUGUUUUUAUAUAGCUUGUGUUAUGGGUUGAUGUAGUACAGUCAAAAUUAUUUAAAUAAAGGAAGAUGUGAGGAAGACUUUGAACUUAGAAAUCUGGGUUCUCAUCCAAGCUUUGCUGCUAGCUUGUUGGGGGAACCUUGGGUGAUGAGUUGGUUGACUCCUUCCAGAUCUCAGCGUUCAUCCAUCAAGUGAGGGAACUUGACCAGAUAUUCAAUAAUGGCCCUUCCAGCCCCAUCUCUAUAUGAAAGGGAAACCACAGUAUGGGCCCAUGGGGAAGAUCAUGGACUUUGGAGUAAAACAUUUCUGGCUUGGUCAAUUAUUUAAUCUCUUGAUCCCGAUCAAUUCAUGUAACUACUCUGACCCUCAGUUUCCUUGCUGCAAAAUGAGAUACUAAUAUUUGCUCAAAUAAGAUAACAGGCAAAACAAUCAUGAGGGCUCCUGGCACACCACUGUGCAUGGCUUUUGCUCCCUUGGGGAGCUUAUAAAUGAAAAAAAGAUUUUACAAUGCAAAGACAGUAAGCAUUUUGUUAGUGAAGCAACAAAAUAAUUGGGCAAUUUCCUCUCAAUUGCACCAUCAACUGAUGCCCAACCUAGAAAGCAUUUGGCUAAGAAUGGAAAAGGAAUCUUUGCCCAGAUCCCUCAAUUUUGACCAUCAUGGCAUAUACAUGAAUUGGCAGACUAAAUUUAUGCUCCUUUUGAAAACUGUGUCCAUUCCAAGAAGUCAGGCUAUUUUCACCCAGCCUGGUCUAGGCAGUGGGACUCCCCAAGGCUACAAGCAGAGCCACAGUGCUCUGGGCUGGGCUGCCACACUGUCAUGCUGGGGCAAAGAUGGCAGCAGACAGCUCUCUUGGGUAACAGCAGGAAGCUCUUUUCACAAGAGUGAUCUCAUCUCUUAGGGGACUAUGGUAGAAACACAGGGCAAAAGCUAUAGGAAUGGUCCAACAUAAUAACUGUUUUUUUUUUUAAUUUUCAAAACAUGAUAAAUGAUUAAGAAUAUAAAACUGGAAUUUAGAACUUACAGAGAACUUGUAUGAAUAAAUUAAAAAGACAACCUAAUUUUAAAAUGGGCAGAAGUCUUGGGCAGGCACAUUACAAUAUAGCAGGGGUCACCAAAUUAAAGCCUCACCAGCAAAAUCCACCUCCCAUCCCAGCCUGUUUUUAUAAAUAAGCUGUGUUGGAACACAGCCAAUCCCAUUCAUUCACACAUUGCCCAUGGCUGCUUUUGCUUGACAACAGCAUAGUUGAGUAGUAGGGACAAGACCAUAUGACCUCCAAAGCCAGAGAUAUUAACUGUCAGGCCCUUUAUAGAGUGAUUCACGGAGACCCCCAUAAUAGAGGAAAAUACAAGUGGCCAAUAGCACAUAAGAAGAUGCCCAGUAUUACAGCCAAGAGGAAAAUGCAAAUUACACCCACAGUAAGAUACCAUUAUGCAUCCAUUAGAAAGGCUAAAAUUAAAAGGACUGACAACAACAAGUGUUGACAAUGGUGGGUAACAGCAAGAGCUCUCAUACACUGAUGGUUGAAGUGUAAAUUGGUUCAGUUUUGGAAAAGAGUUUGGAGGUGUCUACUACAGUUAAACAUACAUAUUUCCAUGCCCCAGAAACUCCUGGGCAUAUUCUCAAAAGAAACGAGGGCUGUGGCCACCAAGAGACAUGUGUGAGAAAGGUCCUAGCACCUUUAUAUAUCAUAGUCCCAAACAGAAAACAACACAUACCCAUCCACGUUAGGAUGAACUAAAUAAAUUGGGGCAUAUGCAUUCAAUGGAAUAGUACAUAGCAAUGAAAAAAUAAACUGUUGCCCCAUGCAAAGAUGUUUUACAGACAUAACGUUAAGCAGAAGAAAGCAGAUCUCAAGGAGCCCACAUUGUACAAUUCCGAUCUAUAUGAAGCUCAAUAACACAUGGUACUAGAAGUUGUAAUAGCAGUUACCUGUAGGACUGGAGGUUUGUAUUGAAAGAGAAGGAACAUCAGGAAGUCUGCUGGAGCCUGGAAAUGUCUGAGAUGUUGCUCUGGGAGGCAGUUGCAUGGCUGUAGACAUAUGUAAGACAUUAUUGGAUGGUAUACCUGAGAUUGGAGCACCUACAAUAGAAGGUACAGUGUUACAUCUCAGU
rnacentral:lncRNA from 1 species